UGCUUUUUUAGGACCAAAGGACAUAUUUCCUUAUUCAGAAAAUAAGGAAAAGUAUGGCAAACCAAAUAAACGAAAAGGUUUUAAUGAAGGAUUGUGGGAGAUAGAUAACAAUCCAAAAGUGAAAUUUUCAAGUCAACAGGUAUCAACCAAACAGUCAAAUGCAUCAUCUGAUGUUGAAGCGGAAGAAAAAGAAACUAGUGUUUCAAAGGAAGAUACUGAUCAGGAAGAAAAAGCCAGCAAUGAAGAUGUGACUAAAGCAGCUGACAUAACCACUCCAAAAGCUGCCAGGCGAGGAAGAAAGAGAAAGGCUGAAAAACAAGUAGACACUGAAGAGGCAGGAGUGGUGACUGCAGCGACCGCUUCCAAUGUGAAAGCAAGUCCUAAGAGAGGACGGCCUGCAGCUACUGAAGUCAAGAUUCCAAAACCAAGAGGCAGACCUAAAGUGGUAAAACAGCCCUGUCCGUCAGAAAGUGACAUGGUUAUUGAUGAAGACAAAAGUAAAAAAAAGGGGCCAGAGGAAAAACCACCCAAAAAGCAGCUUAAAAAGGAGGAAGAAGGCCAAAAGGAAGAAGAGAAGCCAAGAAAAGAACCAGAUAAGAAAGAGGGGAAGAAAGAAGUCGAAUCUAAACGGAAAAAUUUAGCUAAACCAGGGGUUACGUCAACCUCUGAUUCAGAAGAAGAUGAUGAUCAAGAAGGUGAAAAGCAGAAGAGAAAGGGUGGAAGAAACUUCCAGGCUGCUCACAGGAGGAACAUGCUAAAGUAAUUUAGUUUUAGGACUGGGAUUUCAGUGGUGUUAGAACUAGAGAGAACAGACUGGUUAUAUAUACAUAUAGGAAGUCCAUCUACAAUCCUUUAUAAAGGUACUAAUCACACAAACCUAAAAUUAGUUUGUUUUAAUCUUAUACUCAUUAAGGUGUGUUUUUUUUUCUUUCUUUUUUAAUUAGAAUCAAUCCAUGAUGCUUAUAAGUAAUAAAUAAGGAAAUUAACCUAAUUGAAGACAUGGCCAUAUUGUAAUGGGAUUUUUGUUUCUCUAUCAAACAUAAUCAGAUGAUUACAGAAAAAACAAACAUCAGUUGUUCCAAGGUAGUAACCAGAUAGUCCAUAUACACAAACAUGGACUAUUGCUCUGUUAAAUUAAGGCAUAACAUUUCAAAGAUAUUCUGAGUAAUCAGGUCAGUUGUUGGUCUCUGGUAGGUAGAAAAGUUUAUCCUUAUGCUUUGAAAUUUUGUAGGAAGGUGACUUAAUACCAGUGUUUCUGUGCGAUACGAUUAAAUAUGUUCUUGAUUUCUCAGAUAGUUAUUUUUACCUAUGUAAAACUUUAAUUACUCCAAUUGGACUUUGCUUUGAUAGCUCUUACAAUUCACUACUGUUUUGAGCAAGUGCUGUACAUUAUUUACGCCAGUCUUCUGUUUUGUCCUUAGUACAUUUUUAACUUGGACAAAAAUUAUCCUAGUUAAGCCAUAAGUGUCAAUGUGUAAAUUGUUUUAAUUAAAAGGUUUUUCUACC
rnacentral:lncRNA from 1 species